GCGUCUGUAGUUCAAUUGGAUAGAAUACAAGCUUCCGGAGCUUGGGGUUGCAGGUUCGAGUCCUGCCAGGCGCA
rnacentral:tRNA from 1 species